GCGGGCUUAGCUCAGUUGGUAGAGCACUCGAUUUACACUCGAAUGGUCGGGGGUUCAAGUCCCUCAGCCCGCA
rnacentral:tRNA from 2 species